AUUUUGAGUGGUCCUUUCCCAGUUGAGUUAGAAGCUGGCUGGCUGAGAAUAAGAAAAUACAGUAUGUGAGCACUUGGAGGAGAAACUGUAGGUUGCAAUAGUGGAAGGGAGGAGGAUUUUGAGCAAAAGAAGAAACUUGUGUUGUUAGGAGCUGCGACCACGCUAUUCAUUGCCUGAGUAGCCAAGCAUGUUAAGACUGACCUUGAUGUCUCUUUGAAGCCAAGGAGGAUGACAACUGAUGUUCCUCCCUUCUUUUCCAAGUACUGAGAUCACAGGUUUCUGCUGGAAAGGAAGACAUCACUUUCUAGAAAUAUCUCUAUGAAAUGGCUCGCACAGACUGUGGACCAGGGAAGGAUGAUGCUACAGAUGCACGGUCUCUCCAAGGCACCAACUGAAUCAAGCAUCUGUGUAGAGAGAAGAGAUUCAGCCCCAAGAUGAGAUCCAGGAAUCUAGGAUGUACUCAGGGAGAUGAAGACUACAGCCUACUCAUUCUGUCACUUUAUGCCCCCCUCUUUCUCCUCUCACUCUCUCAGUAUGGUGCAUUAUAGAACAACAAAGAGAGAAAAGGAAAUGAAGACCAUGAGCCUUGCAUAAUAAAUAUUAACUGAGAAGUACCUGGAUCUUAUGAGAAAUAUAUACCUUAUUAAAAAAAGCCAUGCUCUUCAAACUGGCCAGGAUUUAAGUGAUUUCCAGUGAGUACCUUACAAGAAUUCUUCUCAUGUGUGGAGGAGAAGUUCAACACCAUAAAUGGAUGUGGUACAGCGCCCCAGAGGGAAUUACAAUGAAAGUGAAAUCCAAAGAAUUCCAAGAGAACCACACCUGCAGAUCAUGCUCCAUUCAUUUGUGUACUUCCCCCUACUCAGUCUUUAAACCCACAGUGUAGCAAUUUCCAAAGGGAGCUCAAUGCAUAGAUCCCAGGCCCCUUCAUAUGAGCUCAUGGUUGUAUAAACCUCAGUGUCCAUAUCCUACUGAAACUCUGCCCAGAGGAAAGCAUGUGUUUUCUCAGAACUACUUAUUUUGCUCUUAGAUUAUUUUUAAAAUUUUACUCUUAGAUAUUUAUUGACCUUGAUAAUAUACUAAACUGUUUUUGUUUGUUUGUAUGUUUGUAUUUUAUUGUGGUUAUGUUCUCUUUAAGGUCCAUUACAGUGUUGGAAAACAGUGUAUUCUCUAAAUAAAAAAGAGAAAAAUUUAAAUUAAAAGAUAAAAAAGUGCUGAA
rnacentral:lncRNA from 1 species